rnacentral:misc_RNA from 1 species
GAUGAAGAACGCAGCGAAAUGCGAUAAGUAAUGUGAAUUGCAGAAUUCAGUGAAUCAUCGAAUCUUUGAACGCACAUUGCGCCCUUUGGUAUUCCGAAGGGCAUGCCUGUUCGAGCGUCAUUUCACCACUCAAGCCUGGCUUGGUAUUGGGCGCCGCGGUCGAUCCGCGCGCCUCAAAGUCUCCGGCUGAGCUGUCCGUCUCUAAGCGUUGUGAUUUCAUUAAUCGCUUCGGAGUGCGGGCGGCCGCGGCCGUUAAAUCUUUCACAAGGUUGACCUCGGAUCAGGUAGGGAUACCCGCUGAACUUAAGCAUAUCAAUAAGCGGAGG